CCUGGCAACCUGAUUGAUUUGAUCAAAAUAAUUUUAUCAAAUCAUAAUUGAACUAGUAUAUAGAUGAUUCAAUAACAAUCAUGGAUGAUAAAAUCCAUUGGUAUCUGAUUUGACCAAAAUGAAUGCUGACAUGCUAUCCGACGACUUUGAAUCAGGAUUCUUUUCACUAAGAUCAAAUCAGAAUCAUUGAAAAGAAAGAUUUUUACUGGAUCAAUUUUAAAAAAUAGAAAUCCAUAAAGA
rnacentral:lncRNA from 1 species